rnacentral:rRNA from 1 species
GCGGCGUGCUUAACACAUGCAAGUCGAACGGUGAACACGGAGCUUGCUCUGUGGGAUCAGUGGCGAACGGGUGAGUAACACGUGAGCAACCUGCCCCUGACUCUGGGAUAAGCGCUGGAAACGGCGUCUAAUACUGGAUAUGUGACGUGACCGCAUGGUCUGCGUUUGGAAAGAUUUUUCGGUUGGGGAGGGGCUCGCGGCCUAUCAGCUUGUUGGUGAGGUAAUGGCUCACCAAGGCGUCGACGGGUAGCCGGCCUGAGAGGGUGACCGGCCACACUGGGACUGAGACACGGCCCAGACUCCUACGGGAGGCAGCAGUGGGGAAUAUUGCACAAUGGGCGAAAGCCUGAUGCAGCAACGCCGCGUGAGGGAUGACGGCCUUCGGGUUGUAAACCUCUUUUAGCAGGGAAGAAGCGAAAGUGACGGUACCUGCAGAAAAAGCGCCGGCUAACUACGUGCCAGCAGCCGCGGUAAUACGUAGGGCGCAAGCGUUAUCCGGAAUUAUUGGGCGUAAAGAGCUCGUAGGCGGUUUGUCGCGUCUGCUGUGAAAUCCCGAGGCUCAACCUCGGGCCUGCAGUGGGUACGGGCAGACUAGAGUGCGGUAGGGGAGAUUGGAAUUCCUGGUGUAGCGGUGGAAUGCGCAGAUAUCAGGAGGAACACCGAUGGCGAAGGCAGAUCUCUGGGCCGUAACUGACGCUGAGGAGCGAAAGGGUGGGGAGCAAACAGGCUUAGAUACCCUGGUAGUCCACCCCGUAAACGUUGGGAACUAGUUGUGGGGUCCAUUCCACGGAUUCCGUGACGCAGCUAACGCAUUAAGUUCCCCGCCUGGGGAGUACGGCCGCAAGGCUAAAACUCAAAGGAAUUGACGGGGACCCGCACAAGCGGCGGAGCAUGCGGAUUAAUUCGAUGCAACGC